AGCAGCGUAGAGCAGCCUGGAGUGCUCGCCGGGCCCAUAACCCGGAGGUCAAUGGUUCAAAUCCAUUCGCUGCUA
rfam:Candidatus Pacearchaeota archaeon RBG_13_33_26 RBG_13_scaffold_38, whole genome shotgun sequence.